GUCUCGUUUGUGUGACUGUGACAGGUGAAUACCAACGGCGUGACCUCCUUCCUUGAUAAAGUCUCAACGUAUACCCCGAAGUCAUUUCCCCUAGCUGGCAUCGCAGAUAUGGUGGCUGUUUUUUGGGCCGAUGUGAGCAGUCGGUACAACGGCAGCGUGUGGUACCAUGAAAUCGCGUCUCGCACUGCCGACAGGGAAUCGCUGUUCAUCAAGGCGGAGAACAUAGGGAGACAAGCAUUCGUCAACCAGGCAUUUGCGGGCUUCUUGGCCACGUGGCUGUUCAUUGCAACAUGGGACCAAGUUCCUUUCUGUUAAUAACACGUUUCAAGUUGUGCUUGUUACCGACGGUGUUUACUCGUUCACCAUCUUCAACUAUGAAAGAAUUUACUGGACAACGGGUAGAAAAAGCGUAGGGAACAGCUUUGGGCUAAAUGGUGUUCCAGCAAAGGUGUCAAUGCUGGUGACGGCUUCACGUUCCUUGCCGUUCAAUUCAGGACAAGACGCCAUCGUGGACAUUGACCAAGACUCAAAUGUCAACACCACUGGUCGCUUUGUGUUCCGGGUUGAUAGCAUCGAAGCCGGAGAUACGAUUGCAUCUAUUCAAACACAAGUUCGCUUGGUUGGCGGUUCGGAUUUUACCGAAGGACGCGUUGAGGUCUUUGCGAGAGGCACGUGGGGAACCGUCUGCGGCAGCAACUGGAGUCUCAAGGAAGCCCACGUGGUGUGUGGCCUGCUAGGCUUCAACCGAGCUAAGGCAGCACUGUCGACGAUUACCUUUGGUCCUGGAGACGACUGGAAAGAUAUCCAUCUUGACCGUCUUGACUGCAAUGGAGACGAGCAACUUUAUUUGACUGCCAACACGAAGGCCUGGGGAUGAACAACUGCACGCACGAUGAAGACGUAGGGGUACGAUGCGUUGUCCCUAACGUUCGCUUGGUAAACGGAUCCAGCAUCAGCGAAGGACGUGUCGAGGUGUUAGUGGAAGGUGCCUGGGAAACUGUUUGUGGCCACCCUUUAAAUUGGGACCUGCAUGAUGCCAGGGUCUUCUGUCGCAGUCUUGGCUACGACAGUGCCUUGGAGGCUUCCUCGGCUACCUUCGGCGUGGGUGAUGAAGGGCAGGACCUUUAUUUGGACUUCCUGGAUUGCCCAGGCAUGGAGGAGUCGUUAUUCGAAUGUCCGAGCCACGGCGUAAUGGUUCCAAGCAGUGUAUGCUCACAUGACCUUGAUACUGGGGUGAGAUGCAAAGCCUUCAUGUCAGGUAUGCCAUUGUGACUUCACUUAAUAGGAUAACUGAUGGGGUCAGAUAACCCAUUUGGCUCCAUAAAGGGGGGCAGCGUUCAUCGCUGCGAAUCAUCAUUGGUG